GGCCCAUCAAGACUCACUCUCAUUUCAUCAGUCCAUAAAACCUUAGAAAAAUCAGUCUUGAGAUAUUUCUUGGCCCAGUCUUGACGUUUCAGCUUGUGUGUCUUGUUCAGUGGUGGUCGUCUUUCAGCCUUUCUUACCUUGGCCAUGUCUCUGAGUAUUGCACACCUUGUGCUUUUGGGCACUCCAGUGAUGUUGCAGCUCUGAAAUAUGGCCAAACUGGUGGCAAGUUGCAUCGUGGCAGCUGCACGCUUGACUUUUCUCAGUUCAUGGGCAGUUAUUUUGCGCCUUGGUUUUUCCACACGCUUCUUGCGACCCUGUUGACUAUUUUGAAUGAAACGCUUGAUUGUUCGAUGAUCACGCUUCAGAAGCUUUGCAAUUUUAAGAGUGCUGCAUCCCUCUGCAAGAUAUCUCACUAUUUUUGACUUUUCUGAGCCUGCCAAGUCCUUCUUUUGACCCAUUUUGCCAAAGGAAAGGAAGUUGCCUAAUAAUUAUGCACACCUGAUAUAGGGUGUUGAUGUCAUUAGACCACACCCCUUCUCAUUACAGAGAUGCACAUCACCUAAUAUGCUUAAUUGGUAGUAGGCUUUCGAGCCUAU